rnacentral:lncRNA from 1 species
ACACAUGCAUAUUCCUGGGGAGAAGCUUCAAUCUCCCAGCUCCUGCAGAGAGACAGAAGCCCUGUCCUGGCAGCCCAGGAAGUCUUGGAUUCAAAAUGUGAUGACUCACCAGGGUCAUGCCACUGCCACGUCCGAGGAAAGCUGGGCGUACCUCCCCGCUGUGGCCCCCUGGGUGUUCGUUGGCAGAAGCUGUUCUGCGGCAGAGCAGGCGGCCCUCCGUUGCUUGUUAGCGGGUGCAGGGGGCGGCGUCCCCACCUGCGAGGCUGAUCUCAGGGCUGGGCCCAGCCUCGUGCACACCCCCUGCUGCCACAAAAGCGCGUUCCUCGUGGCAUCCAGCUGGCCCUCCUGGUGUGGGGCUGAGCGCACCUGUGGCCUGCCACGCCAAUCCCGGUUUACCCCCCAGGGCCCCAGCACUGAGAGGGGUGGAGGCCCCGGCAGCAGCCUUUCUUCAGGACCCCUUCAGUGAGAGGCCAGGGAGGCUGAGCCCAGACUUGGAGCCGAGCCUGGGAGGAGCAGAGCAACUGUCAAGGCCGGCCCCUGUCCCUCAGCCCUGUGCAGCGGCAGGUGUGAGCCCCAGACCGACUCCCGCAGCACCCCCCAGACAGGGCUGGGGCCAGUCGCGUCUCGGGGGGAGAGCCCCUCCGCGCCUCCAGCCGACUCCGUUUGGAAAUACUAAGCUAUUACUUUAAAAUGUAUUCAAGAGAUUUCCAAUAAACUUUUUCUGUACUUUAUCACUUCCUGUCCUGCAAGUUGUCAGAAAACCUAGCCCGCCUCCUCCCGCGUUGCACAGCCCCGUGUCGCUGACAGGCUCCAGGGAGGGAAGAGAAGUGCCACGUGAGACACGCAAGGGUUCAGAGCCUGACCGGCUGCUAGGGGUCCUGGGCUGCUCGGGAAGUCUCGCUCAUUCUCUUUUUUUGGUUGCACCGUGGGGCACGUAGGAUCUCAGUUCCCUGCCUGGGGGUUGAAUCCAUGUCCCCCCUGCAGUGGGAGCUGGUAGUUUAACCACCGGAUCACCAGGGAGGUCCCAAGAAUCUCCUCUUAGAGCUUCGUUUUCCUUGUCUGUAAUGUUCCCAUUUCAGGGGUUGUGUGUGAGCAGUGUGAGACACGUGUUCAGUGAGGUGACGUGUGUGACGCAGACAUGCAUGUGAAGCAGAGCCCUUGGGACGGCAGGCCGUCAUCUUCAGCUCCUCCCGACCUCACCGGCUCACUGCGGCAUAGCUCCCCACUCACCCCGGGCGCCAGCCUUUGGCUCAGAGGGAAAGACAGCAAAAGACAGCUGGCCGUGCUCUUGUCCUGUUUCCAGAGAGACCAGGCAGGGGGCGGGGGACCCCCCAAACCACCGGGAUGUUUGCCGAUCUGGUGUGAGGGGUUAUGGCUGAGCAAACCAGACAGGAGGAGAGGGGCUGAGUGAAGUCCAGGGCCCUGCCCCGAUCUGACACACAGCUGGCCCCAGGGCAGAGGAGAGCCCUGCGGGUGUUACUCCUGCCUGGCCCUCUGGGAGCGGCCAGCUCCUUCCUCUGCCUUGCCCGUGGUAGGAGAGGGAGCAGAAGGUGGAGCUGCCGACAAACCCAGGCGAGUGCUGUCUUGGUUGCCUCCCACGCCCCUCAGGCUGAAGCCAGGCCCCAGGGGAGAAAAGGGCAGGUUAGAAAAUUCUAAAUUCAGCUCCAAGGGGCUAAAAAGGAUGGGCCCGCCCACCGCUGCCACUUUGAGCCCUAGAGCCCUUGCUUGUUAGCGAACUGCAUGUGACGCUGCCCAUGACACCUGACCAUACAGGCGUCCCACCCCAGGGUCAGAAAUGGUGCUUAAGACUGUCCUUGGAGUCCUCACUUUGAAUUGGGGUCCCCCCAGCCCCCCGGAAAGCAAAGCAUUCAACUGCCCCAUUUCUGGUAGCGUCCUGCCCCUUUAAAGCACGUCCCUACGCUCUGCCCCUAGAGACCCACCGCUGCCAAGGCAGGGGUAAACUGGCUUUUGAGUCACUCAUCAGAGGCCCCUGCCAGAGGCCAGCCCAAACCAACAGCUGUCUCCCGACCGCCUGCCUCAUCGUUUCCUUGGGUCACCGCCCCUCUGUUCCAAAUAGUCCCCCAGCUUACAGUUGAGCAGACCCAGGGAGACAGGCAGCAGGCACCUUCUAUGUGAGCUACCGGGACAGAGGGGCUUGGCUGAGGGGGACUGGCUUCCUGGAGCUCAGCGCCUCAACGUUUAUAACCAUUGCCUUGAUCAUACAGCUUUGGCCCGCCUUCCUCCGCCAAAUCAAGCAAUGAGGAGAUAAAAAAACAGGCCUGACGGAGGCCACCGUACCCUCCUGAUUGUAAUCCGCCGGCAAGCAGCUAACAGCUGGAGCUUGGCCACUGUGCCAAGUGAAACUCCGGCCGGUGCUCCCUGUGACAUACCACUUUUUUUUAGAUUGUGUUAAAAUACAUAUAAGUUUUACCAUCUUAACCUUUAUUGUUUUUUUUUAAAUAUUAAUUUUGCAGCACCAGGUCUUAGCUGUGGCACAUGGGAUCUUUUAGUUACGGAGUGUGAACUCAGUUGCGGCAGGUAGGAUCUAGUUCCCUGACCAGAGAUUGAACCCAAGCCCCCUGUGUUGGGAGUAUGAAGUCUUAGCUAUUGGAGCACUGGGAAGUCCCUAUCUUAACCUUGAAAGCAAAGCCAAGCCCGCUCAAAAGAGGAAAGCUGGAUCUUUCAUAGCCUCCACGUGACUGGGUAGCAGGAGGAAACAGCCAAGCUCUCUGGCUGAGGGAAGUAUGAGCAGGACCGCAAUGGUCAGGAGAUAAGGGCUCCAACCCUGGCUGCUACUAGAGGUUGGGACUGUCACUUCAUUCAUCUGCGACAUGACCAGCAUUCCCAUUUCCAGUGGGCACUCAUUCUGUUAUGCUGUGUGUACAUUAUGGUUGGCCCCUGCACCUGUGGCUUCCACAUCUGAGAGCUCCCCCAAACUUGGAUAGAGAAAUACUUGGAAAAAGGAAAUUCCAAGGAGUUUCAAGAAGCAAAAUGUGUAUCUGCUGCAUGUUGGCAACUAUUUACAUGGCAUUUACAUUGUAUUAGGUAUUCUAAGUGAUCUAGAAAUAAUUUAAAGAAAAGAUGUAUGUAGGUUAUAUUGCAAAUACUGCGCCACUUUAUAUACGGGACUCAAGCACCCUUGGAUUUUUGUAUCUCGGGGUGGGGGUGGCUGGAACACAUCCCCCACAUCUAGGAAGGACAACUGUAGUUCUGAUCUUCUGAGACACAAAGCAACAGUCUCAGCGAUGGGACCAGCUGCAUGACAAUUACCAGUCAGAGCUGGUUGUGAGUGAUGGAACCAGGAUUCAAACCCUGGCCUGACUCCAGAGCUCGGGCCCACCACAGUCCGCUGUUUGGGGGACGGAGGUCCUGGUUAAUAGGAUAUAGCGCUUGGGGGCCAGCUGGAAUAAAGGUGACUGUUCAUGCUUCUAAGCCUGGAAGAUGCUCAGAAAGCUGGCUUCAUCCCAGCGCGAUGUGAAAGGGGUCAGACGAAUGGAGCGGGGGCUUCCUGUGGCCCUAUCUGCCCCUCUCCCACAACCACCCUGCACCUCCCACCCGGAUCUGAGCCUCCAUGCCCACUUCUAUGAUCAGCCAGAUGCAAAGUUUUCCAUCUCGAUUUUUACUGAAAUAUAAAAAGUGCAAAGGUAAAAUACACGAUUGGUGCCAAGGAAGUCAUUAAGUAUGAAUGUGAACACUUGAUUCAUAGUACAAGUCCCCCGCGCCCCCAGGUAAAGACUAGCGGUGAGGGCCGGGGGAAGGGGGACAGGAGAGAGACCGAACAGAUCCACGAGGCUCCCCAGUAAAUGGAACGGCGAGCAACACCUGAUGUACUAAGGCAGGCAGACAGCAGAAGCCUGGGCCUGGCCUGGAGACACACUGGCUGACAGCAGCCACAUCCGUCCGUGGGGGCCCUGACACACCAGUGUCCUGGGGACAGAGCUCGCAGAUGGGGCAGGGCUGGUCAGAGAGGCCUCCACGGUGCAGGCUCCGGCCGAGGCCUCAGGAAGGAGGUUCACCAGGAAGGGACAGCUGGAAAGAGGGGCCUCCGCCAUCACCAGGUCCAGGGGGAGGCUGCUAGAACUUACCUGGCAGGGGCCAAUCUAAUCAGCAAAGUCUCUACCUGGCCCCUCCAGGAGUCUGCAACUGGAGGAAGGAGCCACCACCCAUCUGAGGCCCUGAGUCAGGCCAGGCCGGAGCAGGGCCCCCUGUGACUCCAGGACAGACUAGGUCAAGGAUGUGUCCAAGUCGGGGGGAAGGAGAGGCAAGGCAGGGGGUGGGAGGGGAGCUGCUGGUCACGGGUCUGACUGGACCCUAGGGGGCUGUCAGGGCUGAGAGUGGGGCAUCUAUUGUGAACGGAGGCAGGGUCCCAGCCCCGUCACCCAAGCUCCCAGUCCUGGCAGGAGAACCAGGGGUGUGAGGAUGCCCGGGGGGGCAGUACCAUCUGGGAAAGGCUGACCCAGGAUGUGCGGAAGAGAAGGCAGGCGUGGGACUCCAGCCUGCCGUCCGUUUGCUAUGGAAGUGCCAAAGGCUGAGCCGUCAGAGGGGAGAGGACAGGAACAGGGUGUCUGCCACCGGGCCUUCCCCCAGACAAGGAGGAGCCUCGGCAGGGCCAGCCCAGCCAGCGCAGCCUUUCGUUCCCCCGAAGGCAGAAGGGAGAGGACCAGCCCCAGCUACCAGCCCAGCCGGCAGUGAUUCUGGCAUCUCCAGUUGCCAGGGACACAGGCAGGAGGAAGCAGGGGAGCGGUUGCUGGGGCCAGGCCUCCCGCCUGAAGAGCCAGCUCCGCAGAGCCUCGCAGGAGCCAGGGACCCAAGGAGGCAGUGAGAAGUAUAAGGCGAAGAGACAAGGUCUUGUGGUUACAGUGAGGCCACUGGAGCCGGCUAGGUGAGCCGGCCAGAAAGGGAGGAGGAGCUGUCCCGGGGGCGGGCUCCAGCUUCCCUCUCCCGGGGACUCAGGGCCCCUUUUCGGGGCAGGAGCCCCAGGCUCUCAUAAGGCUGGAGCCAGGAAGGAAAGUCCAGAGUGGGGGCUGUCUGAGCAG